GACGAACGCUGGCGGCGUGCUUAACACAUGCAAGUCGAACGAUGAAGCUGGAGCUUGCUCCGGUGGAUUAGUGGCGAACGGGCGAGUAACACGUGAGCAAUCUGCCCUUGACUCUGGGAUAACUGCGGGAAACUGUAGCUAAUACCGGAUAUGAGAUCUGAAGGCAUCUUCGGGUUUGGAAAGAAUUUCGGUCAAGGAUGAGCUCGCGGCCUAUCAGCUAGUUGGUGAGGUAAUGGCUCACCAAGGCGACGACGGGUAGCCGGCCUGAGGGGGUGACCGGCCACACUGGAACUGAGACACGGUCCAGACUCCUACGGGAGGCAGCAGUGGGGAAUAUUGCAUAAUGGGCGAAAGCCUGAUGCAGCAACGCCGCGUGAGGGAUGAAGGCCUUCGGGUUGUAAACCUCUUUUAGCAGGGAAGAAGCGAAAGUGACGGUACCUGCAGAAAAAGCACCGGCUAACUACGUGCCAGCCGCCGCCGUAA
rnacentral:rRNA from 1 species